rnacentral:rRNA from 1 species
GGCAGACGGGAGAGUAACGCGUGGGAACGUACCCUUCGGUUCGGAAUAAGCCGGGGAAACCUGGUCUAAUACCGGAUACGUGCGAGAGAAGAAAGAUUUAUCGCCGUAGGAUCGGCCCGCGUCCGAUUAGCUAGUUGGUGGGGUAAUGUCUCACCAAGGCGACGAUCGGUAGCAGGUCUGAAGGAUGAUCAGCCACACUGGGACUGAUACACGGCCCAGACUCCUACGGGAGGCAGCAGUGGGGAAUAUUGGACAAUGGGCGCAAGCCUGAUCCAGCCAUGCCGCGUGAGUGAUGAAGGCCCUAGGGUUGUAAAGCUCUUUCGCCAGGGACGAUUAUGACGGUACCUGGAUAAGAAGCCCCUGCUACUACGUGCCAGCAGCCGCGGUAAUACGAAGGGGGCUAGCGUUGUUCGGAAUCACUGGGCGUAAAGCGCACGUAGGCGGAUCUUUAACUCACGGGUGAAAUCCCGAGGCUCAACCUCGGAACUGCCUUUGAUACUGGAGGUCUCGAGUCCGCGAGAGGUGAGUGGAACUGCAAGUGUAGAGGUGUAAAUCGUAGAUAUUCGCAAGAACACCAGUGGCGAAGGCGGCUCA